rnacentral:rRNA from 1 species
CCUACGGGGGGCAGCAGUGAGGAAUAUUGGUCAAUGGACGAGAGUCUGAACCAGCCAAGUAGCGUGAAGGAUGACUGCCCUAUGGGUUGUAAACUUCUUUUAUAUGGGAAUAAAACGUUCCACGUGUGGGAUUUUGUAUGUACCAUAUGAAUAAGGAUCGGCUAACUCCGUGCCAGCAGCCGCGGUAAUACGGAGGAUCCGAGCGUUAUCCGGAUUUAUUGGGUUUAAAGGGAGCGUAGGUGGAUUGUUAAGUCAGUUGUGAAAGUUUGCGGCUCAACCGUAAAAUUGCAGUUGAAACUGGCAGUCUUGAGUACAGUAGAGGUAGGCGGAAUGCGUGGUGUAGCGGUGAAAUGCUUAGAUAUCGCGAAGAACUCCGAUUGCGAAGGCAGUUCACUGGACUGCAACUGACACUGAGGCUCGAAAGUGUGGGUAUCAAACAGGAUUAGAUACCCGAGUAGUC